GGCUGGCCAUACUACCCUGAACAAAAUCUAUCCUGUCUGAUCUCAGAAGCUAAGCAGGGUUGGGCCUGGUUAGUACUUGAAUGGGAGACCAUCUAGGAAGACCAGGUGUUACAGGCG
rnacentral:rRNA from 1 species